rnacentral:rRNA from 1 species
CGGAAGCUUGCUUUUGAUGGGCGUCGACCGGCGCACGGGUGAGUAACGCGUAUCCAUCCUGCCCACCACUUGGGGAUAACCUUGCGAAAGUAAGACUAUUACCCAAUGAUAUCUCUAGAAGACAUCUGAAAGAGAUUAAAGAUUUAUCGGUGAUGGAUGGGGAUGCGUCUGAUUAGCUUGUUGGCGGGGUAACGGCCCACCAAGGCAACGAUCAGUAGGGGUUCUGAGAGGAAGGUCCCCCACAUUGGAACUGAGACACGGUCCAAACUCCUACGGGAGGCAGCAGUGAGGAAUAUUGGUCAAUGGACGAGAGUCUGAACCAGCCAAGUAGCGUGCAGGAAGACGGCCCUAUGGGUUGUAAACUGCUUUUAUAAGGGAAUAAAGUGAGAGUCGUGACUCUUUUUGCAUGUACCUUAUGAAUAAGGACCGGCUAAUUCCGUGCCAGCAGCCGCGGUAAUACGGAAGGUCCGGGCGUUAUCCGGAUUUAUUGGGUUUAAAGGGAGCGUAGGCCGGAGAUUAAGCGUGUUGUGAAAUGUAGACGCUCAACGUCUGCACUGCAGCGCGAACUGGUUUCCUUGAGUACGCACAAAGUGGGCGGAAUUCGUGGUGUAGCGGUGAAAUGCUUAGAUAUCACGAAGAACUCCGAUUG